rnacentral:rRNA from 1 species
UUGAACGCUGGCGGCAGGCCUAACACAUGCAAGUCGAGCGCGAAAGGUUUUCGGACUGAGUAAAGCGGCGGACGGGUGAGUAACGCGUGGGAAUCUGCCCAGUAGUGGGGGACAACAGCCGGAAACGGCUGCUAAUACCGCAUACGCCCUACGGGGGAAAGGGGGGGAUCUUCGGACCUCUCGCUAUUGGAUGAGCCCGCGUCGGAUUAGCUAGUUGGUAGGGUAAAGGCCUACCAAGGCUACGAUCCGUAACUGGUCUGAGAGGAUGAUCAGUCACACUGGAACUGAGACACGGUCCAGACUCCUACGGGAGGCAGCAGUGGGGAAUAUUGGACAAUGGGGGCGACCCUGAUCCAGCCAUGCCGCGUGUGUGAAGAAGGCCUUAGGGUUGUAAAGCACUUUCAGUGGGGAGAAAGGUUUGUCACCUAAUACGUGAUGAAAUUGAUGUUACCCACAGAAGAAGCACCGGCUAACUCCGUGCCAGCCGCCGCCGUAA